GUUCGGGUCCUGAUCUCAGGGUUGUGAGUUCAAGCCCUGCAGUGGGCUUCAUGAGGUGUGGGGCCUACUCAAAAAAGGAGGAGGAGAAGGAGGAAAAGGAAGGGGAGGAGGAGGAAGAGAAGAGGACAUGUAGAAGCAUGUCCAGUGUCUUGAGACCCAGAUUCAGAAGUGACCCCUAUCGGUCCACAUUCCACAGGCAAACAUCAAUCAUAUGGCCAUACCUGGAUGCAAACAAGAGUGAGGACAUAAGCAUUAUUUUUAUUGAUUAGUUUAUUUAUUUUGACUCUGAAAGAAAAUUAAGGAAAUAAUCAUACCAAAUGUUUAAUCCCUGUAUUAGUUAUCUUGGGUUGCCAUAACAAAAUGCCAUAGACCAAAUUGCUUAAACAACAAUAAUUCAUUCUUGUCACAGAUCUGAAGGCAGAAUUCUGAGAUCAGGGUACCAGCAUGAUUGGUUUCUGGUGAAGCUUUCUUUUUCCUGUGUGAUCACAUGGCCUUUCCUUGGUGUGUGCACACACAGGGAGAGAGAGAGAAAGCUCUGGUCUCUAUCUUCUUAUAGGUACACUAAUCCUAUCAGAUCAAGGUCAUAUUACUAUGACCUCAUUUAACCUUAAUUACUUCCAUAAAGGUCCUAUCUCCAAAUACAGUCACAUCUGGGUCUAGGGCUUCAACAUAUGCAGGGGGAUGAGGGACACAAUUCAGUCCAUAGCAAUUGCUUUGCUCUGAUAGUCAUUUCUCUGACAAUAAUUUCAUUUAGCUCUCAGUACAUUGAAAAUAAGCACUUGCAGAAGGGUAAGUUCUUUACCUCAUCUCUGAAUAAGUUUACCAAUAACUUCACACAACAAAAAAUAUGUUUUUGAAAAACUAAACUUGAUAUAAAGAUACAUGUAGGAAGGUGUGUGUGUGUGUGUGUGUGUGUGUGUAGAAAGAGGGAGAUUAAAAGUUUAUUCAUUUCUGUAUCAUCAGAAAUCUUUAGCUAUCAUCUUAAAGUUUGGGUCCUAAAAUAUCCAGUAUCAUAAACCUAGCUCGGUUGGUAGGUAGAUAGGCAGUUACAGUGAAGCUUUUAGGAACUAGAACUCAAUGACCAAAGUAGGUAUACAUGAAGUAACUGGAUUCAGAAUAGACAAUGCAAGCUGAAAUUAGAGCAUUUUGUUUUGCCUUAUCAUUUAUGUAAAAUGUGCUUAUGUUUAAGCAUAGAACCAGAAGACUAUUUUGGAUCAGAAUUUAAAAUAGUCCCACUUUUUGUAUGUCAAAGUAAUAUCUUUGUCUUUGAGUUCUUUUAUCUGAAGUAUAAAACUAAACAAAAAAACGUAAAUCAAAUAUUUUGGCCCUUCCCUGGUCUUUCUACCAUGGGCCGAUUCUAUUCAGCAUGUAUUUUUCCCCAUGAUAUCUGAAGUGCAAUAUAGAAAUUCAUCCUUUUAGUGAACUGGGUCUUUACCCAAGAUUUUUAUUUUGCAUUUAACAAAAUAACAGCAAAUUUCAGGUAUUAGAGAGAUCGAAACAACCUCUUCUAUUCUGUUGUCCUUAGAACACCAUCUUUUAUUCAUAGCUUCUCUUGUGGUGCUGGGAGGCAGAUUCUGUUGCUAUAGCAACGCCCUGCAUAUCCUUGGGGAUAGCUUACAGUUUUACUUUUUUUUUGAACAACAAAGAGCCAUUGAUACUACAUGUUGCCAAAGGUUACAAAAGUUGAAUUCUAAAAUGAAAAUAUUUCUUCUAUAGAAGUGGUACACCAUAUGCGUCCCACAAAUUCAAAGAGAUAUGUAAGGAUAUGACCUUUGUGUGAACACUGAUGAAUCUAGCAUAAUACUGUUGGGCUUCAAUGGAUUAUUCACAGCAGAAGUAGUUGAAGUGUAUGCCUUGUUUUCUAAGACCACUGGUGGGGGAUAAGGGGGUUUAUUCCCAGUAUCUAUAAAGAUCCAGGAGCAGGAAAAGAAAAAAAAAUUCAAAGGUACCAUCACUUACAUUUUGUUUGUUACUUUGUAAUCACCUUCCCAUCCUCACCCCCACCAAAAUGAACUGCUAUAUCAAAAUCCAAUUACACUUUGACAGUAAAUAGAUCCUCAAAGAGUGGUUGUGGCUGAAUCCUUGUUCCUCAGAAUAGAUAUUAAAUAUACGAGAGUCUUAAGAGCUUUGAAAUCUGUAUUCCUAGCUUCGUUUUAACUGGAUUCUCUUUAUCUAUGAAAAAAAAUACUCCUUAGCUAGCUAUUUUGUAAAACCAGGAAAAAUAUUUCUUUUCAAGUAUUCUUUUCAAGAUAAGUUAUUUCAUCCCCUAGAAAUCUGAAGGGAUGCACUGAGAACCACAGAUGAGAAGUGAGAAGAUCCAUAGAAUCGUUUCCUGGGAAAACAGUCAUAAGAGUUUAUAGAGAGUCAGGACAUGGGAAUCUGGAUUUUUCUCAAUAAGCUACAGGCUAAAAACAUAGAUAAAAUAUAAGAAUGAAUCCCAAUCUCCUCUACUCACUAAGCCUGGGCAAAUUCACUUGGGUUAGAAGACCCUCCUAGCAGACCAAGCAAACGGCAUAAUUCAAGGCCAUUGAUUCAUUCAUUCAUUCAUUCAUUCAUCAAUAUUUACUAGAUAUAUGUUAUGUUCCAAGUCACUUGAAAGCUUUUCAAAGGUUUAUUAAAUGCCUGAUUGUACUCUUGAAGAGUUAGUCUCUAAUUUAAAAGUCUUUAUUGGUACAAUUUCUAUAGCUAUAGUAUAGAGAAUUGUAUUAAAAAUAACAGAGUUACAAGGUAAUCAUUGCUAGUAAUAAUGAUCACCCAGACAGUGUCAUCUCCCACUAAAAGAAACCAAGUUUCCUUGGAGAAAUGACUGAAUACAGAAAUGGUUAAGAUAGGGAAAAUACAAAGUCUCCUUGAACAUCUUGUUCAAGGAAGCAAGGAAAUGCUUAAACACCAACAGAGUCAUGUCAAAAGAAUAUUGGUGCUAGUUUGAAGCCACAUCCCAUUUUGAGCAUCAAAAUGAAUGACAGAAAUAAUAUAUUGAGUGAAAAAUAAAUGCAUGAGUCCAUAGUGAAACUCA
rnacentral:lncRNA from 12 species